rnacentral:rRNA from 1 species
CGUCGUGAGACAGUUUGGUCCCUAUCUGUUGUGGGCGUAGGAUACUUGAGAAGAGCUACCUCUAGUACGAGAGGACCGAGGUGGACGAACCAAGGGUGUGCCGGUUGUACUGCCAAGUGCAUAGCCGGGUAGCUAUGUUCGGAAAGGAUAAGCGUUGAAAGCAUCUAAACGCCAAGCCUCCUUCAAGAUAAGGUAUCCCAUGAGACCCCCUGAAGAUGACAGGGUUGAUAGGUUGGGUGUGUAAGCACAGCAAUGUGUUUAGCUAACCAAUACUAAUCGGUCGAUUGGCUUGAUCACUUUUUUUU